rnacentral:ncRNA from 1 species
CUCAAGGGGCUUCCGCGAUUGCCCCGUGAGGCGCCAGCCUGAAAUCGCGUCCUAUCUCCCCUCUGCCCAGGGAUGGACGCCGUG